AGAAGAACCAGCAGAGUCACAAAGGACACCAGUCCAUCUCACCACCUUGACUUGCUGACUGAUGUUCGUCUGCACUGCACAGAGGAAAUCAACUGACCGAGGAGCGUUUCUGAGUGAGGGGGAGAGGAGUCAUCAUCCAGGUAAAGUGACGUGGAUCAGUGGAUACACUUGUCUCCCCUUUAAAGGAGACGAUCCAAGUCAUCCUUAAAUAUGGGCAGUAUAUCAGUCUUGGACUGUCUAACCUGCCGGAGCA